rnacentral:hammerhead_ribozyme from 1 species
AUGCAGCUGACCAGUCCCAAAUAGGACGAAACGCGCAUCCUGGAU